rnacentral:rRNA from 1 species
UACGUAGGGGGCGAGCGUUAAUCGGAAUUACUGGGCGUAAAGCGUGCGCAGGCGGUUUUGUAAGACAGGCGUGAAAUCCCCGGGCUCAACCUGGGAAUGGCGCUUGUGACUGCAAGGCUGGAGUGCGGUAGAGGGGGAUGGAAUUCCGCGUGUAGCAGUGAAAUGCGUAGAUAUGCGGAGGAACACCGAUGGCGAAGGCAAUUCCCUGGGCCUGCACUGACGCUCAUGCACGAAAGCGUGGGGAGCAAACAGG